AGAGAAUAGUUUAUUAGAAUAAUAAUUUUGGAGAUUAUUGGUAAGAUUGUCUUUUCUCUGAG
rnacentral:tRNA from 1 species